UCCCAUGUGGCUCAGUGGGUAAAAGAAUCUGCCUUCAAUGCAGGAGACCCAGGUUUGAUCCCUGAGUUGGGAA
rnacentral:tRNA from 1 species